GAUGAACGCUGGCGGCGUGCCUAAUACAUGCAAGUCGAGCGAACAGACGAGGAGCUUGCUCCUCUGACGUUAGCGGCGGACGGGUGAGUAACACGUGGAUAACCUACCUAUAAGACUGGGAUAACUUCGGGAAACCGGAGCUAAUACCGGAUAAUUUAUUGAACCGCAUGGUUCAAUAGUGAAAGACGGUUUUGCUGUCACUUAUAGAUGGAUCCGCGCCGCAUUAGCUAGUUGGUAAGGUAACGGCUUACCAAGUUAACGAUGCGUAGCCGACCUGAGAGAGUGAUCGCCCAAGCUGGAACUUGGACGCGCUCCUGACGCCUACGGGGGGCAGCAGUAUGGAAUCUUCCGGAAUGGGCGAAAGCCUGACGGAUCAACGCCGCGUGAGUGAUGAAGGUCUUCGUCUCGUAAAACUCUGUUAUUAGGGAAGAACAAAUGUGUAAGUAACUAUGCACGUCUUGACGGUACCUAAUCAGAAAGCCACGGCUAACUACGUG
rnacentral:rRNA from 1 species